rnacentral:rRNA from 1 species
UGAGGAAUAUUGCGCAAUGGGCGAAAGCCUGACGCAGCGACGCCGCGUGGAGGAUGAAGGUUUUCGGAUUGUAAACUCCUGUUAAGUGGGAAGAAACGACAAAAUAUAAUACAUUUUGUAACUGACGGUACCAUUAAAGAAAGCACCGGCUAACUUCGUGCCAGCAGCUGCGGUAAUACGAGGGGUGCAAGCGUUAUUCGGAAUUAUUGGGCGUAAAGGGUGCGUAGGCGGCGUAUUAAGUCAACUGUUAAAACCUCCAGCCUAACUGGAGAUCAGCAGUAGAUACUGGUAUGCUAGAGGGUGGAAGAGAGAAGUGGAAUUCUUGGAGUAGCGGUGGAAUGCGUAGAUCUCAAGAGGAACACCAAUGGCGAAGGCAGCUUCUUGGUCCAUAUCUGACGCUGAUGCACGAAAGCGUGGGGAGCAAACAGGAUUAGAUACCCUGGUAGUCCACGCCGUAAACGAUGAUCACUAGAUGUUAAUUCUGCUUGCAGAAUUAGUGUCGUAGCUAACGCGAUAAGUGAUCCGCCUGGGGGACUACGGUCGCAAGAUUAAAACUUAAAUGAAUUGACGGGGUCAUAGCUGUUUCCUG